GAUGAACGCUGGCGGCGUGCCUAAUACAUGCAAGUCGAACGCAUUGUGGUUGAAAUGAUAUGAAGAACUUGUUCAGAUUUGAUUUUCAACAUUGCAAUGAGUGGCGAACGGGUGAGUAACACGUGGGAAACCUACCUCUUAGCAGGGGAUAACAUUUGGAAACAAAUGCUAAUACCGUAUAAUAAUUAAAACCGCAUGGUUUUAGUUUAAAAGAUGGUCUUGCUAUCACUAAGAGAUGGUCCCGCGGUGUAUUAGUUAGUUGGUGAGGUAAUGGCUCACCAAGACAAUGAUACAUAGCCGAGUUGAGAGACUGACGGCCACAAUGGGACUGAGACACGGCCCAUACUCCUACGGGAGGCAGCAGUAGGAAUCUUCCACAAUGGACGAAAGUCUGAUGGAGCAACGCCGCGUGUGUGAU
rnacentral:rRNA from 1 species